rnacentral:sRNA from 1 species
UAGACAUCUCGGCCGCCUGACAGAGUUGU